CGUGGGGACAUAACAUGGCGUAGCCUAAUUACAAUCCAACCUGUUUUGGGCUUGAUUGUAAUCCAUAUGUUAUCCUGAUGUGGGCUCAUGGUACCCAGCCACUUUUUCAAUCUCGGGCUGGGUAAGUAACAUCUAACUGGGCCGGAUUGGGCGUGAUAUCCGACCCGGUAACCAUCGGCGGCACUCGGCUGUACCCCCACAUUUCCGGCGAAAUGGCGGAACACAAUUACAGCGCCGACAAACCACCCAAUGAUGAGAAUCUCAAAUUGCCUCCGCCAGGAAGCCAUCGUCUUCUUGCACCCUGGUCUAAGGCGGCGAUUUGAGUGCUUCAUUUCCGAGGAGAUUCACGCCGCCGUUCAUAAAUCGCGGUUCUUGAGUCAGGUCCGUUCUCGACGGUGCGGGUGAUUUGUUUCUAACUAGACCACAAUUAGUCGCAGGACCAGUAAGCAUAUGGUCGAACAAUAUCAUGACAUGUUUAAACAAGAGAAAGCAUUAGUUCGAGAUUGUCUUGAAGAGUUUGAGACCGUUGAGCAAUGAGAUGUUUAUCACUUGAAGUGGAGAGAAUAUUUAGCUUGCCACUCUAAAGUGAACACGAUAUUGUGAGACAGACAAUGAUUGAGAUAUAACUUGGUAUUUCAGUGUUCCGCAAUUUGCUACUGCUAGUGCUAGAUCUGAGAAUGAAGAUCCUAGUGUGGCUGUAUCUAUGUUGGUGAGCUUCUUUAUUUGAUGGAUAUCUCAUCAUCAGGCUUGUAGGCUGUAGCAGGGCCCUCAUGAGAUUGAUGGAAUCUUUACUUGGUUUUAUAACAUUGACAUCAUCUUGGAGAUGGUGUAGCUGAUUUUCAGCCUGCAGGUAUUCAACAUUCCUGGAAAACAAAUGCCAGACAUGAAUGUUCUGAGGAUCAGAUAAUGAAGAUAUUGCAGUCGAAACUGCAUAUCAAGUUUGAACUCUAUUCUACAUGAUGAUCCGAGGAUGCCCACAACAUAAUUCCAGAAGGGCAGUUAACAGCGGUGAUGAAUAUUCUGCUAUUUGAGAGUUCAUUAAAGCGCUCUUCUCUUCAGAUUCUCCAGGCAAUGCAGUGGGUUUUCCAGAGCUAAAACAAUUGCACAAUGGUGCUGCCAUCUUUGAUGGACAGGGACCGGCCAAUUGUGCAACAAUUUAUUUUAUGUGAUGGAAUUGCAGCUAAAGUUUUACUUCGGAUGCAGGAGUAAUUGACUUUGUGGGCAAAAGAGAGACCAUGUUGUUGUGAAUAUCUUUGUGUAUGUGAGAUCAGUUGGUUGGUUGUAAAUAUAGGUGGUUUUUUAGUCUUCACUACAUUAUGCCAAGCUACAUACUUAGCUAAGUGAUGCGUCCUCUGUUCUGCGGAGCCUUAUAGUGCUAAGUUGAGUAGUAGUUGAAUAAAUACUGAGAUAUUACUCACUUAUACCGGUCAAUGAGCCAUUUGUGACUUUGCACUUUUCUGCUCCCAGUUUCCUUCCAUAGGAAGGCCGUGAGAUUUGAAAAACUGGAGAAUGAGCCACCUGUCGAUUGCCUUUCUUGCCUGUUUCACUUUGAUAUUUGCUGAGCUUCUUGGAGUAUGGUUCUCUCUCUGUUACAGUUUUUCAGAAUGAUCUUUCGUUUUCUAUAUGUCCAGGCGACAACUUGGAAACUAGUUCCUGAUUAACUUUUUCCGCUCUUUAGAUAAAUGUAUCGGAUAGUGAUUUUUAUUAUGUAUCUGCUUUUGAUAUUCUUGGCUUGCAUUAUAGUUCUCCCUGAUUUGUGUUUCCUGGCCCGCUCGAUUAAUCCUGGAGGUAUUAUCAGUUCAAAAGUUUUUUUGACUAAAACUUAAUAUUCAAGCAAUCUUGCCCUCUAUUUGUGUU